UGCAGUCGAGCGAUGGAUUAAGAGCUUGCUCUUAUGAAGUUAGCGGCGGACGGGUGAGUAACACGUGGGUAACCUGCCCAUAAAACUGGGAUAACUCCGGGAAACCGGGGCUAAUACCGGAUAACAUUUUGAACCGCAUGGUUCGAAAUUGAAAGGCGGCUUCGGCUGUCACUUAUGGAUGGACCCGCGUCGCAUUAGCUAGUUGGUGAGGUAACGGCUCACCAAGGCAACGAUGCGUAGCCGACCUGAGAGGGUGAUCGGCCACACUGGGACUGAGACACGGCCCAGACUCCUACGGGAGGCAGCAGUAGGGAAUCUUCCGCAAUGGACGAAAGUCUGACGGAGCAACGCCGCGUGAGUGAUGAAGGCUUUCGGGUCGUAAAACUCUGUUGUUGGGAAGAACAAGUGCUAGUUGAAUAAGCUGGCACCUUGACGGUACCUAACCAGAAAGCCACGGCUAACUACGUGCCAGCAGCCGCGGUAAUACGUAGGUGGCAAGCGUUAUCCGGAAUUAUUGGGCGUAAAGCGCGCGCAGGUGGUUUCUUAAGUCUGAUGUGAAAGCCCACGGCUCAACCGUGGAGGGUCAUUGGAAACUGGGAGACUUGAGUGCAGAAGAGGAAAGUGGAAUUCCAUGUGUAGCGGUGAAAUGCGUAGAGAUAUGGAGGAACACCAGUGGCGAAGGCGACUUUCUGGUCUGUAACUGACACUGAGGCGCGAAAGCGUGGGGAGCAAACAGGAUUA
rnacentral:rRNA from 1 species